rnacentral:rRNA from 1 species
AGAGUUUGAUCCUGGCUCAGGAUGAACGCUGGCGGCGUGCCUAAUACAUGCAAGUCGAGCGAACGGACGAGAAGCUUGCUUCUCUGAUGUUAGCGGCGGACGGGUGAGUAACACGUGGAUAACCUACCUAUAAGACUGGGAUAACUUCGGGAAACCGGAGCUAAUACCGGAUAAUAUUUUGAACCGCAUGGUUCAAAAGUGAAAGACGGUCUUGCUGUCACUUAUAGAUGGAUCCGCGCUGCAUUAGCUAGUUGGUAAGGUAACGGCUUACCAAGGCAACGAUGCAUAGCCGACCUGAGAGGGUGAUCGGCCACACUGGAACUGAGACACGGUCCAGACUCCUACGGGAGGCAGCAGUAGGGAAUCUUCCGCAAUGGGCGAAAGCCUGACGGAGCAACGCCGCGUGAGUGAUGAAGGUCUUCGGAUCGUAAAACUCUGUUAUUAGGGAAGAACAUAUGUGUAAGUAACUGUGCACAUCUUGACGGUACCUAAUCAGAAAGCCACGGCUAACUACGUGCCAGCAGCCGCGGUAAUACGUAGGUGGCAAGCGUUAUCCGGAAUUAUUGGGCGUAAAGCGCGCGUAGGCGGUUUUUUAAGUCUGAUGUGAAAGCCCACGGCUCAACCGUGGAGGGUCAUUGGAAACUGGAAAACUUGAGUGCAGAAGAGGAAAGUGGAAUUCCAUGUGUAGCGGUGAAAUGCGCAGAGAUAUGGAGGAACACCAGUGGCGAAGGCGACUUUCUGGUCUGUAACUGACGCUGAUGUGCGAAAGCGUGGGGAUCAAACAGGAUUAGAUACCCUGGUAGUCCACGCCGUAAACGAUGAGUGCUAAGUGUUAGGGGGUUUCCGCCCCUUAGUGCUGCAGCUAACGCAUUAAGCACUCCGCCUGGGGAGUACGACCGCAAGGUUGAAACUCAAAGGAAUUGACGGGGACCCGCACAAGCGGUGGAGCAUGUGGUUUAAUUCGAAGCAACGCGAAGAACCUUACCAAAUCUUGACAUCCUUUGACAACUCUAGAGAUAGAGCCUUCCUCUUCGGGGGACAAAGUGACAGGUGGUGCAUGGUUGUCGUCAGCUCGUGUCGUGAGAUGUUGGGUUAAGUCCCGCAACGAGCGCAACCCUUAAGCUUAGUUGCCAUCAUUAAGUUGGGCACUCUAAGUUGACUGCCGGUGACAAACCGGAGGAAGGUGGGGAUGACGUCAAAUCAUCAUGCCCCUUAUGAUUUGGGCUACACACGUGCUACAAUGGACAAUACAAAGGGCAGCGAAACCGCGAGGUCAAGCAAAUCCCAUAAAGUUGUUCUCAGUUCGGAUUGUAGUCUGCAACUCGACUACAUGAAGCUGGAAUCGCUAGUAAUCGUAGAUCAGCAUGCUACGGUGAAUACGUUCCCGGGUCUUGUACACACCGCCCGUCACACCACGAGAGUUUGUAACACCCGAAGCCGGUGGAGUAACCUUUUAGGAGCUAGCCGUCGAAGGUGGGACAAAUGAUUGGGGUGAAGUCGUAACAAGGU